rnacentral:rRNA from 1 species
AGUGGCGGACGGGUGAGUAACGCGUAAGAAUCUAACUUCAGGACGGGGACAACAGUGGGAAACGACUGCUAAUACCCGAUGUGCCGCAAGGUGAAACCUAAUUGGCCUGGAGAAGAGCUUGCGUCUGAUUAGCUAGUUGGUGGGGUAAAGGCCUACCAAGGCGACGAUCAGUAGCUGGUCUGAGAGGAUGAGCAGCCACACUGGGACUGAGACACGGCCCAGACUCCUACGGGAGGCAGCAGUGGGGAAUUUUCCGCAAUGGGCGAAAGCCUGACGGAGCAACGCCGCGUGAGGGAGGAAGGUCUUUGGAUUGUAAACCUCUUUUCUCAAGGAAGAAGUUCUGACGGUACUUGAGGAAUCAGCCUCGGCUAACUCCGUGCCAGCAGCCGCGGUAAUACGGGGGAGGCAAGCGUUAUCCGGAAUUAUUGGGCGUAAAGCGUCCGCAGGUGGUCAGCCAAGUCUGCUGUCAAAUCAGGUUGCUUAACGACCUAAAGGCGGUGGAAACUGGCAGACUAGAGAGCAGUAGGGGUAGCAGGAAUUCCCAGUGUAGCGGUGAAAUGCGUAGAGAUUGGGAAGAACAUCGGUGGCGAAAGCGUGCUACUGGGCUGUAUCUGACACUCAGGGACGAAAGCUAGGGGAGCGAAAGGGAUUAGAUACCCCUGUAGUCCUAGCCGUAAACGAUGGAUACUAGGCGUGGCUU